CACUAAACGACAUUUUCGAACGCAGUUGGCUUAGAUGCAGCUGGAAAGACGACCAUACUCUACAAACUGAAGCUGGGAGAAAUUGUGACAACCAUUCCUACCAUCGGUUUCAACGUAGAAACCGUGGAAUAUAAAAACAUAUGUUUUACUGUUUGGGAUGUCGGUGGUCAGGAUAAAAUUCGACCAUUGUGGCGCCACUACUUUCAAAACACGCAAGGUUUAAUUUUUGUCGUGGACUCUAACGACCGUGAUCGUAUAAAUGAAGCUGAAAAGGAACUUCAGAAUAUGGUAUUUGCCUUAUCUUUUAAACUGUUCAAUAGGUUUAUCCACUAACUAAUUUUCUGUAUUCAUUCUAGCUUCAAGAAGAUGAGCUUAAAGAUGCUGUGCUCUUAGUUUUUGCUAAUAAACAGGAUCUACCGAAUGCAAUGACUGCCGCGGAACUUACAGACAAGUUGCGGCUGAACCAAUUAAGAAACCGCCACGUACAUAUUUAUUUUUUUUAACAUGUUAAUAGUACUUAAUUAAUACUCCGUUUUUUGCAGUGGUUUAUUCAAGCAACUUGCGCCACUCAAGGUCAUGGACUAUAUGAAGGACUUGAUUGGCUCUCCGCUGAGUUGGCAAAGAAAUGAAUGAUUAAAGAACAUAAAAUCUAACAAAGGAAUUCGUUUUGUCCUACGCUGAAAAUAAUUGAUUAGAUCCUUAAUAAAUAUGUAAAUGUAUAUAAA
rnacentral:lncRNA from 1 species